rnacentral:rRNA from 1 species
UGGCGGACGGGUGAGUAAUGUCUGGGAAACUGCCUGAUGGAGGGGGAUAACUACUGGAAACGGUAGCUAAUACCGCAUAACGUCGCAAGACCAAAGAGGGGACCUUCGGGCCUCCUGCCAUCGGAUGUGCCCAGAUGGGAUUAGCUAGUAGGUGGGGUAACGGCUCACCUAGGCGACGAUCCCUAGCUGGUCUGAGAGGAUGACCAGCCACACUGGAACUGAGACACGGUCCAG